AGUGAACGCUGGCGGUAGGCCUAACACAUGCAAGUCGAACGGCAGCACAGAGGAGCUUGCUCCUUGGGUGGCGAGUGGCGGACGGGUGAGGAAUACAUCGGAAUCUACUCUGUCGUGGGGGAUAACGUAGGGAAACUUACGCUAAUACCGCAUACGACCUACGGGUGAAAGCAGGGGAUCUUCGGACCUUGCGCGAUUGAAUGAGCCGAUGUCGGAUUAGCUAGUUGGCGGGGUAAAGGCCCACCAAGGCGACGAUCCGUAGCUGGUCUGAGAGGAUGAUCCGCCCCACUGGAACUGGGACACGGUCCAGACUCCUACGGGAGGAAGCAGUGGGGAAUAUUGGACAAUGGGCGCAAGCCUGAUCCAGCCAUACCGCGUGGGUGAAGAAGGCCUUCGGGUUGUAAAGCCCUUUUGUUGGGAAAGAAAUCCAUCUGGUUAAUACCCGGAUGGGAUGACGGUACCCAAAGAAUAAGCACCGGCUAACUUCGUGCCAGCCGCCGCAGUAA
rnacentral:rRNA from 1 species